UUACAAUGGCAGGUACAGAGGGAUGCUACCGGGCGACCGGAUGCGGAUCUCGAAAGCCUGUCCCAGUUCGGACUGGAGUCUGCAACCCGACUCCACGAAGUUGGAUUCGCUAGUAAUCGCGCAUCAGCCAUGGCGCGGUGAAUACGUUCCCGGGCCUUGUACACACCGCCCGUCAAGCCAUGGGAGCCGGGGGCGCCUGAAGUCCGGGACCGCGAGGACCGGCCUAGGGCGAAACUGGUAACUGGGGCUAAGUCGUAACAAGGUAGC
rnacentral:rRNA from 1 species